rnacentral:rRNA from 1 species
CGGUCUCAGUUCGGAUUGAAGGCUGAAAUUCGCCUUCCAUGAAGCUGGAAUUGCUAGUAAUGGCAGGUCAGCAUACUGCCGUGAAUACGUUCCCGGGCCUUGUACACACCGCCCGUCACACCAUGAGAGUUGGAAAUACCCGAAGCCUGUGAGCUAACAGUAAUGAGGCAGCAGUCGAAGGUAGAGCCAAUGAUUGGGGUGAAGUCGUAACAAGGUAGC